GCUCCCAUCGUCUAGCGGUUUAGGACACGGCCCUCUCAAGGCUGAAACAGGGGUUCGAUUCCCCUUGGGAGCGCCA
rnacentral:tRNA from 2 species